rnacentral:rRNA from 1 species
GUUGGCUUUACCUGAAGGCGCUGCGCUAACCCGCAGGGGAGGCAGGCGACCACGGUAGGGUCAGCGACUGGGGUGAAGUCGUAACAAGGUAGCCGUAGGUGAACCUGCAGAAGGAUCA